rnacentral:rRNA from 1 species
UACGUAGGGUGCAAGCGUUAAUCGGAAUUACUGGGCGUAAAGCGUGCGCAGGCGGUUAUGUAAGACAGGUGUGAAAUCCCCGGGCUUAACCUGGGAACUGCAUUUGUGACUGCAUAGCUAGAGUACGGUAGAGGGGGAUGGAAUUCCGCGUGUAGCAGUGAAAUGCGUAGAUAUGCGGAGGAACACCGAUGGCGAAGGCGGCAUUCUGGACCAAUACUGACGCUGAGGAGCGAAAGCCAGGGGAGCAAACGGG